CCUACGGGAGGCUGCAGUGGGGAAUCUUGCACAAUGGGCGAAAGCCUGAUGCAGCGACGCCGCGUGCGGGAUGAAGGCCUUCGGGUUGUAAACCGCUUUCAGCAGGGACGAGGCGAAAGUGACGGUACCUGCAGAAGAAGCCCCGGCUAACUACGUGCCAGCAGCCGCGGUAAUACGUAGGGGGCAAGCGUUAUCCGGAUUCAUUGGGCGUAAAGCGCGCGUAGGCUGCCCAGUAGGUCGAGAGUUAAAUCCGGGGGCUCAACCCCCGUCCGCUCCCGAUACCGCUGGGCUUCGAGUCUGGUAGGGGAAGGUGGAAUUCCCAGUGUAGCGGUGGAAUGCGCAGAUAUUGGGAAGAACACCGGUGGCGAAGGCGGCCUUCUGGGCCAUGACUGACGCUGAGGCGCGAAAGCUAGGGGAGCGAACAGGAUUAGAUACCCCGGUAGUC
rnacentral:rRNA from 1 species